rnacentral:rRNA from 1 species
AGAGUUUGAUCAUGGCUCAGAUUGAACGCUGGCGGCAUGCCUUACACAUGCAAGUCGAACGGCAGCGCGGGGGCCAACCCUUGGCGGCGAGUGGCGAACGGGUGAGUAAUACAUCGGAACGUGUCCUGGAGUGGGGGAUAGCCCGGCGAAAGCCGGAUUAAUACCGCAUACGCUCUGUGGAGGAAAGCGGGGGAUCGCAAGACCUCGCGCUCAAGGGGCGGCCGAUGGCGGAUUAGCUAGUUGGUGGGGUAAAGGCCUACCAAGGCGACGAUCCGUAGCUGGUCUGAGAGGACGACCAGCCACACUGGGACUGAGACACGGCCCAGACUCCUACGGGAGGCAGCAGUGGGGAAUUUUGGACAAUGGGGGAAACCCUGAUCCAGCAAUGCCGCGUGUGUGAAGAAGGCCUUCGGGUUGUAAAGCACUUUUGUCCGGAAAGAAAUCCUGAUGGCUAAUAUCCGUUGGGGAUGACGGUACCGGAAGAAUAAGCACCGGCUAACUACGUGCCAGCAGCCGCGGUAAUACGUAGGGUGCGAGCGUUAAUCGGAAUUACUGGGCGUAAAGCGUGCGCAGGCGGUUCGCUAAGACCGAUGUGAAAUCCCCGGGCUUAACCUGGGAACUGCAUUGGUGACUGGCGGGCUAGAGUAUGGCAGAGGGGGGUAGAAUUCCACGUGUAGCAGUGAAAUGCGUAGAGAUGUGGAGGAAUACCGAUGGCGAAGGCAGCCCCCUGGGCCAAUACUGACGCUCAUGCACGAAAGCGUGGGGAGCAAACAGGAUUAGAUACCCCCGUAGUCC